rnacentral:lncRNA from 1 species
UUGCUACUUCAGGUUGUUAAGACAGUCGUUAUAAGGGGAGCAAGAGUCAGAUUAGUUCAAUUUCUUUCUCCUGGGGCAGGGAGGAGAGGGAGCAGCAAGCCAGCCUCGUGGCCUUCUCGUCUCUAGCCUACAAGGAAUAGGCUGAUUUCCCCUUGGCAAGGCGCCUGAAGCAGCUGGCAGGCAAGCCCUCCUCUUCCUACUUCAGUACGCCCUCUGACCUGACUGCACUCAGAAACCAAAAUUCUGCAGGUGAAUGUAGGCUCCCAUUUCGUCCCACAAUCAUUUCAUCAUUCAGGCACAGCUUGACCUCUAAUGUGACAUCACAAACCCUUCCGGUCCACAGUUUUUUUUUCUUCUUCAGAAACUACCUAAACAAGGAAGUUUGUGUUCCAAGGUAAGAUAACCUGAAAUGAAAAACUCAGGAUCCCUCACGAACAGCCUGACCCUGCUUUCAACCAGGAAGUUCAAGGGAGGCAGGACUUUACGGUCAAAACUGCAAAGCCGAAGCUCAAGACUGUAAGAAGAAAGUGAUCUUCAAAGAAAAGGAUUCACCCAAAUCGAAGAGGAUAUCGUUUCGCAUCAGGGACACUCGUCUCCACACCUCCUACCUCAAAGUCCUACGCACCUACCCUUCACGUCUCUCCAAAGCAACUGAAUUAAAGCGCCUACUGGCCUUGGCGGCGCAGAUAAUACACAGGCAUCUCAUGAAAAUCAUCCAACAUAUAGAAGAAUAUAUAGAAUAAAGCAAAAAUCAUCAGAAACUCCACCGUCUUGGAUGACCAUAGUUGAUAUUCUGAAUGGCUUCUGUUCCGAUUGAACCUUGACUGAUGUAGCACCUAUCACCAAAUUGCUGUUCAGGAAAUAUGUCCUAAAGAAACUCCCAACAGCAGCAAUACAUCAGAGUGGCACCUCUUUACACUGGUUCUUGAGAAGAUGUCAGAGUGAGAUUUGCAAUAGACUCCCAGCAGCCCCCAGGAGCACCAAGUGAGAUGCCUGCCAGGCCCACUGUGUCCACUGCCCUCUGGUAGCACCUGAGGAUCAUGGAAAUUAAAUCCUGGUAGAUAAAGGGGAAGACGUAAGGAAGACAAGACAAGGGACUGAGGAAAUGUUGGGGAAGAUGAGAACACCUCAGAAACCACAAUUGAAGAAUUCCUAGGACCCCCAGGAAAGGGGCACAUCCAGAAAGGAGAUAAGAUCAGAAGCCUUUAUUUCCACUAUUCAGCCACUCACUGCCUGAGACUUAACUUCAUUUCAAAAUUCAGGAAAUCUCACAGGAACCCCCUGACCUGGAAAAGGCAUGCCAAGCUAGGGAAACAGCACACCCUUUUGAAUUAGGGGUGGCAAAGAUAAAGAAUGGCCUUUUUCAUAAGCAUUUGAACAUUUUAACUGAAGUAACUUCAUUCACUUCUUAUGGGAACAUGGCAAGUGUUUGGGCUGAUUUGACCUAAUAUGAGUUGAUAAACCAGAAGAGAAGAAUGAAACAUCUCAUCCGGUCAUUGACCUCUUCACAGAGACAAUUUUCAAAGACAGUGAGUGCUGUAAUGCAAGGAACUCCCAACCAACAAUAAGCAAAAUUCACUGCAAGCUCAGAGCUGCUUCAGUGGUCUUUUCAGGACAUUCCCUUGACCUGAGAGUUUCUAGUGAAAGCAUCUUCUUGAAUUUUCCUGGGGCUUUUAAUUGUCUCAGGUGGAGUGGGUUGACACUAGAUUACAGAAAUGGACCAGUAGUGAGUGGCAGCUCUGGUUUGUUCUGAAUCUUUCAGAAAUAGAUGGAACCUAUUUCUUCAUUCAACACACACUCCUUGAGCAUCCACUAUGUACCAGGCAUCAUGGAGGGAACUUAGCAUGUGGCAUACAUAAAACGCAAAUGGUCCUUGCCUUCAAGUUCAUACUUGAGUGAGCACGCAGACAAUAAUAAGUGAAGAAAUAAUUACAGCAAGUAAUUACAAAUAAUGAUCAAAGUAAUGCAAGAAAGCAAGAUGACAUGUCUGACUUUGUUGCUAGUUUGUCAUUUGAAUAUAUAAUGGGACAACUUUCAGGGCUUCUAUAAUUAAUUCUCCUAUAAUAUAUAUAGGAGAAUUAUAUAUGAUACAUAAUUCAGGGCUCCUAUAGUGUAAUCAAUUCUCAAUAUUAUAAAAUGAGGAUUUCCUGAUUCAACUUGCAAAAACAUGUGAAAGUAAUGAGAAAUACUGUUUUCUCUUGCUGUUCACAUUCAGUUUCCUGGAAAGCCACUUUUGAGAGUUGUGUUUGCUUUCAAGAGGCCUGGCUUAGAGAUCCAGAGGGAUUCCUUUAUCUUGAGUGCCACUGCUAAGUGAGUCACAUCCUGGUAGGUAGGAGUCCUGAAGUUUUCCCCAGCAGAACUUCCCACUGGUCUCCCUUUCCCAUUUCAACAUGGUUCAGGUGUGCCCAUUUGUUCAUCAACACGGACUCUUCUCCCUUGCCAAAAAAUGAUGAGAAUAGGAUGGGAAAACUCCACAGAUGGUGCCUGUGAUCUUCAUUAGAAGAAGCCGUAUAAAUACAGAUAUGACCAAGAACACUGAUGCAUUUUAUAUUUUUCUAGGUAUUUGGACAUGAUAUUGUUGGUUUCCCAAAACCAUGCUUCAGAAAUUUGUUGCUCUUUCUUAAAGAUACAGGGAGGUUGAGGUGAAAGGAACCCACAGAGAAAUGAAGAAAUAAGGUCAACUUAAGAAUUAGAGAGUAUGUUAAUGAAGGUAAUUUCUCCAAGGCUAUCACGUGGAAUAAUCACAUAUAUUUUUAAAACUGAGAAAGCCUUGAGAAAUUACAAACUUGUUUUCAGCAAGUUCAAUUGGGCCUCUGUUUUAGUUGAAGAUUUUUCCACUUUGGUAAAAAGACAGGCUCUGUGUGGCCAAAAUUGGAUGUUUAGGUCUCAAUCUUUGGUUAGCCCCAAUUCCCACACAGAAUUUCUGGACUCAGUUACUGGACAGAGGAUGGGCAAGAUUAAUAGAGCUCUUCAUCUCAGUCCUUUCUCUCGGUUUCUUCUGCUUAUUUCCUGGAAAAGCGAUGAAAAAUAUGCCACAGGACAGAUCACCUUAACAUUGGAUACAGCUCCUUUGCCACUUGAUAAUAUUCAAAACCUAAUAAAACCUUAAAAAUUCAUUUCUGUGUAAAAUGCAGACCCUUGAUGAGCAUCUGCCCAAGCUGGGACACAUGCAUCGGUGUGUCUGAGGAAGGAUGAGGUGCUGUCUGUAGAAGAAGGUACUCCGAGAUCGCGCCACUGCACUCCAGCCUGGCGACAGAGCGAGACUCUGUCUCAAAACAAAAACAAAACAAAACAAAACAAAAGCCUACUCUAUUUUUUGUUUUAUGCUUGACUUUUAAAAAAAGAAUUAAAUGAUUUUCUUUCUGUGUUCUUUCUUUCGUUGUCCUCCCAUUCCCUGGCUACCUAUCAUUUUGUAUAGACCACUUAUGCUUUAAGAGAAUCUGAAAGUCUUCUAAUCUAGUGCUUCUCAUCAGUCCAGAAUUUCUUCCUGAAGCCUCCAUUCCUCUUUUUUGAAAGGAAAGUUAAGGUUUCAUCUCAGCUAGCUUUAUCCCUCUCCUUGCCUUCCAUUUUUAAUAUUGAGCAAUGUUAAAGAAUUUUCCAUUUUAAGCAUAAGCAUCUUUUCUCACAUAUCAAAUGCUAGCAGACAAUGGUAGAAGGUGAAGAUGGUGGGUGAGUUGAAUUAACUGUUCUCUAAUGCCUUUUCUAGCUCUAUCAUUGUCUUAUCCUUUGGUUUCAUAGUUUAAUUACCCAGUGAACUUGGAAAAAAAGUCUUGCUCUAAUCCCCUUCAUACUUCUUGUUCCACCUUGUUUUAUUUGUGGAACCCCUCUUUAUAGCAGAACUCUUUACCAACCUCCC